GACAGAGGGUGCAAACGUUGUUCGGAAUUACUGGGCGUAAAGCGCGUGUAGGCGGCUUGGCAAGUCGGAUGUGAAAGCCCUCGGCUCAACCAAGGAAGUGCAUCCGAAACUGCUGAGCUUGAGUACUUAAGAGGAUCGCGGAAUUCCCGGUGUAGAGGUGAAAUUCGUAGAUAUCUGGAGGAACACCGGUGGCGAAGGCGGCAUCCUGGACCGGCAUUGACGCUGAGGCGCGAAAGCCAGGGGAGCAAACGGG
rnacentral:rRNA from 1 species